UCCCUGUUAGUUUAGCUAGUAAAGAAUCUGCCUGUAAUGCAGGAGACCCGGUUUCAAUUCCUGGGUUGGGAA
rnacentral:tRNA from 1 species